rnacentral:lncRNA from 1 species
AUAUUUCCAUUGAAGUUCCCUUGUUCCAUGUUCAGUUUUAGGUACAAAUUCACAAUUUGCCAAUUGUUUAUGUAAUAAGAGUGUGGCUGUGUUGUUGGGCAACUUUGUAGGUGGUUUUAAUGCAUAUUAUUUCACAAUAAUUACUAGGGGAUUGCAACAAUAUAUGCGUGCAAGGGAGUUGCUUGACAUUCGGAAGCCACUCAAAAGGACUUAAAAAGUGUUAAAUAAGGAUGGGCGUGUUGUUCAAGCUCUGUUUCGCUAUGAGAGGCUCCUACAUUCUGUUAUUUAUGUGGGUGUAUUGGUCAUUCGGAGCGGUACUGUGAGCAUCUUUUCUCCACCAAUAUAGCUCAUCUUCAACAUGGUUGGAGGACCGUAAUGGAGAGCAUGUGGUGGAUGGUUUCAACUUUCAACCUUAGUUACUCACUUGCCAGGAGAAGAUGACAUGGAAGGUGUUCAAACUUUAACCCGCCUGAAGGAUCAAAUUAUGGACCUCGAGAGAAUGAAAUUGGUUCAAAAGAUGUGUUCAUUGAGUUGGAAGAUAGCAAUAAAUCGCCUCUAAUUGAUUUUACGGUCCCACUAGAGUGAGUAGUAUUCGAUUAAAUAAAAAAAAAUCGAUC